rnacentral:rRNA from 1 species
UUUAUCGGAGAGUUUGAUCCUGGCUCAGGACGAACGCUGGCGGCGUGCCUAAUACAUGCAAGUCGAGCGGACAGAUGGGAGCUUGCUCCCUGAUGUUAGCGGCGGACGGGUGAGUAACACGUGGGUAACCUGCCUGUAAGACUGGGAUAACUCCGGGAAACCGGGGCUAAUACCGGAUGGUUGUUUGAACCGCAUGGUUCAGACAUAAAAGGUGGCUUCGGCUACCACUUACAGAUGGACCCGCGGCGCAUUAGCUAGUUGGUGAGGUAACGGCUCACCAAGGCGACGAUGCGUAGCCGACCUGAGAGGGUGAUCGGCCACACUGGGACUGAGACACGGCCCAGACUCC